UAUUCUCAACCCUCCCCAGGUUUUGUGACCGGGGUAGUGGAUUGGAUUGUGGGGGUAUUGCUGGUCUUUAUGUUGAGGUCUGCUCCCCUGAAAUGCAUUAGCGGAACUGUUUGCGGUCCCGUCACUGGUGUGAUAACUAUCUACGCCGACGACGAAGGGCUGCUCUCUCUAUGUUCGGCUUCUAACCAGUCCCCUCUGGUGGACACCUUUUGAAA
rnacentral:misc_RNA from 1 species